CAGAGACUGCAAGCGUUAUUCGGAUUCACUGGGCGUAAAGGGUGCGCAGGCGGCCAAGUGUGUGAGGCGUGAAAGCCCGGGGCUUAAUCCCGGAAUUGCACCUCAAACUACAUGGCUAGAGCAUUGGAGAGGGUAGCAGAAUUCAUGGUGUAGCAGUGAAAUGCGUAGAUAUCAUGAGGAAUACCAGAGGCGAAGGCGGCUACCUGGACAAUUGCUGACGCUCAGGCACGAAAGCGUGGGGAGCAAAAGGGAUUAGAUACCCCUGUAGUCCACGCCCUAAACGGUGCACACUAGGUCUUGGCGGAUUCGACCCCCCCAGGGCCCAAGCUAACGCGUUAAGUGUGCCGCCUGAGGACUACGGCCGCAAGGCUA
rnacentral:rRNA from 1 species